AACGAACGCUGGCGGCAUGCCUAACACAUGCAAGUCGAACGGGAUCCAGGCUUCGGCCUGGUGAGAGUGGCGGACGGGUGAGUAACGCGUGGGAACCUGCCCAAUGGUCUGGGAUAACCGCGGGAAACUGCGGCUAAUACCGGAUAAGCCCGAGAGGGGAAAGAUUUAUCGCCGAUGGAGGGGCCCGCGUCAGAUUAGGUAGUUGGUGGGUAAUGGCCUACCAAGCCCACGAUCUGUAGCUGGCUGAGAGGAUGAUCAGCCACACUGGGACUGAGAUACGGCCCAGACUCCUACGGGAGGCAGCAGUGGGGAAUAUUGGACAAUGGGGCAACCCUGAUCCAGCAAUGCCGCGUGAGUGAUGAAGGCCUUAGGGUUGUAAAGCUCUUUUGGCGGGGACGAUGAUGACGGUACCCGCAGAAUAA
rnacentral:rRNA from 1 species